GACGGAAGGUGCAAGCGUUGCUCGGAAUCACUGGGCGUAAAGGGUGCGUAGGCGGCCGCGCAAGUCUGGCGUGAAAGCCCCGGGCUCAGCCCGGGAAGGGCGCUCGAAACGGCGCGGCUCGAGUGCCGGAAGGGAGAGUGGAAUUCCAGGUGUAGCGGUGAAAUGCGUAGAUAUCUGGAGGAAUACCGGUGGCGAAGGCGGCAUCCUGGACCGACAUUGACGCUGAUGAGCGAAAGCUAGGGGAGCAAACGGG
rnacentral:rRNA from 1 species